rnacentral:rRNA from 1 species
GAUGAACGCUGGCGGCGUGCCUAAUACAUGCAAGUCGAGCGAACGGAUUAGAAGCUUGCUUCUAUGACGUUAGCGGCGGACGGGUGAGUAACACGUGGGCAACCUGCCUGUAAGACUGGGAUAACUUCGGGAAACCGAAGCUAAUACCGGAUAGGAUCUUCUCCUUCAUGGGAGAUGAUUGAAAGAUGGUUUCGGCUAUCACUUACAGAUGGGCCCGCGGUGCAUUAGCUAGUUGGUGAGGUAACGGCUCACCAAGGCAACGAUGCAUAGCCGACCUGAGAGGGUGAUCGGCCACACUGGGACUGAGACACGGCCCAGACUCCUACGGGAGGCAGCAGUAGGGAAUCUUCCGCAAUGGACGAAAGUCUGACGGAGCAACGCCGCGUGAGUGAUGAAGGCUUUCGGGUCGUAAAACUCUGUUGUUAGGGAAGAACAAGUACAAGAGUAACUGCUUGUACCUUGACGGUACCUAACCAGAAAGCCACGGCUAACUACGUGCGAGCCGCCGCGGUAAUAC